rnacentral:rRNA from 1 species
GCACAUGCUGUGAGCUCGAUGAGUAGGGCGGGACACGUGGUAUCCUGUCUGAAUAUGGGGGGACCAUCCUCCAAGGCUAAAUACUCCUGACUGACCGAUAGUGAACCAGUACCGUGAGGGAAAGGCGAAAAGAACCCCGGCGAGGGGAGUGAAAAAGAACCUGAAACCGUGUACGUACAAGCAGUGGGAGCACAGAGCAAUCUGUGUGACUGCGUACCUUUUGUAUAAUGGGUCAGCGACUUAUAUUCUGUAGCAAGGUUAACCGAAUAGGGGAGCCGAAGGGAAACCGAGUCUUAACUGGGCGUUAAGUUGCAGGGUAUAGACCCGAAACCCGGUGAUCUAGCCAUGGGCAGGUUGAAGGUUGGGUAACACUAACUGGAGGACCGAACCGACUAAUGUUGAAAAAUUAGCGGAUGACUUGUGGCUGGGGGUGAAAGGCCAAUCAAACCGGGAGAUAGCUGGUUCUCCCCGAAAGCUAUUUAGGUAGCGCCUCGUGAAUUCAUCUCCGGGGGUAGAGCACUGUUUCGGCAAGGGGGUCAUCCCGACUUACCAACCCGAUGCAAACUGCGAAUACCGGAGAAUGUUAUCACGGGAGACACACGGCGGGUGCUAACGUCCGUCGUGAAGAGGGAAACAACCCAGACCGCCAGCUAAGGUCCCAAAGUCAUGGUUAAGUGGGAAACGAUGUGGGAAGGCCCAGACAGCCAGGAUGUUGGCUUAGAAGCAGCCAUCAUUUAAAGAAAGCGUAAUAGCUCACUGGUCGAGUCGGCCUGCGCGGAAGAUGUAACGGGGCUAAACCAUGCACCGAAGCUGCGGCAGCGACACUGUGUGUUGUUGGGUAGGGGAGCGUUCUGUAAGCCUGUGAAGGUGUGCUGUGAGGCAUGCUGGAGGUAUCAGAAGUGCGAAUGCUGACAUAAGUAACGAUAAAGCGGGUGAAAAGCCCGCUCGCCGGAAGACCAAGGGUUCCUGUCCAACGUUAAUCGGGGCAGGGUGAGUCGACCCCUAAGGCGAGGCCGAAAGGCGUAGUCGAUGGGAAACAGGUUAAUAUUCCUGUACUUGGUGUUACUGCGAAGGGGGGACGGAGAAGGCUAUGUUGGCCGGGCGACGGUUGUCCCGGUUUAAGCGUGUAGGCUGGUUUUCCAGGCAAAUCCGGAAAAUCAAGGCUGAGGCGUGAUGACGAGGCACUACGGUGCUGAAGCAACAAAUGCCCUGCUUCCAGGAAAAGCCUCUAAGCAUCAGGUAACAUCAAAUCGUACCCCAAACCGACACAGGUGGUCAGGUAGAGAAUACCAAGGCGCUUGAGAGAACUCGGGUGAAGGAACUAGGCAAAAUGGUGCCGUAACUUCGGGAGAAGGCACGCUGAUAUGUAGGUGAAGUCCCUCGCGGAUGGAGCUGAAAUCAGUCGAAGAUACCAGCUGGCUGCAACUGUUUAUUAAAAACACAGCACUGUGCAAACACGAAAGUGGACGUAUACGGUGUGACGCCUGCCCGGUGCCGGAAGGUUAAUUGAUGGGGUCAGCGCAAGCGAAGCUCUUGAUCGAAGCCCCGGUAAACGGCGGCCGUAACUAUAACGGUCCUAAGGUAGCGAAAUUCCUUGUCGGGUAAGUUCCGACCUGCACGAAUGGCGUAAUGAUGGCCAGGCUGUCUCCACCCGAGACUCAGUGAAAUUGAACUCGCUGUGAAGAUGCAGUGUACCCGCGGCAAGACGGAAAGACCCCGUGAACCUUUACUAUAGCUUGACACUGAACAUUGAGCCUUGAUGUGUAGGAUAGGUGGGAGGCUUUGAAGUGUGGACGCCAGUCUGCAUGGAGCCGACCUUGAAAUACCACCCUUUAAUGUUUGAUGUUCUAACGUGGACCCGUGAUCCGGGUUGCGGACAGUGUCUGGUGGGUAGUUUGACUGGGGCGGUCUCCUCCUAAAGAGUAACGGAGGAGCACGAAGGUUGGCUAAUCCUGGUCGGACAUCAGGAGGUUAGUGCAAUGGCAUAAGCCAGCUUGACUGCGAGCGUGACGGCGCGAGCAGGUGCGAAAGCAGGUCAUAGUGAUCCGGUGGUUCUGAAUGGAAGGGCCAUCGCUCAACGGAUAAAAGGUACUCCGGGGAUAACAGGCUGAUACCGCCCAAGAGUUCAUAUCGACGGCGGUGUUUGGCACCUCGAUGUCGGCUCAUCACAUCCUGGGGCUGAAGUAGGUCCCAAGGGUAUGGCUGUUCGCCAUUUAAAGUGGUACGCGAGCUGGGUUUAGAACGUCGUGAGACAGUUCGGUCCCUAUCUGCCGUGGGCGCUGGAGAACUGAGGGGGGCUGCUCCUAGUACGAGAGGACCGGAGUGGACGCAUCACUGGUGUUCGGGUUGUCAUGCCAAUGGCACUGCCCGGUAGCUAAAUGCGGAAGAGAUAAGUGCUGAAAGCAUCUAAGCACGAAACUUGCCCCGAGAUGAGUUCUCCCUGACCCUUUAAGGGUCCUGAAGGAACGUUGAAGACGACGACGUUGAUAGGCCGGGUGUGUAAGCGCAGCGAUGCGUUGAGCUAACCGGUACUAAUGAACCGUGAGGCUUAACCUUACAACGCCGAAGGUGUUU